AGUCAUUCGGGUGUACCAAACGAGACGUCGGCCCAUUAGCGUGCGCGAAUAAGAGCUGUAAACAGGCCCGGAAGAAUAUUGCUCCCCUUCGUUCACCUCGCGUACGCGACAACUAGGCUGACCGCCGCCGCCCUACGCUCAACUGCCCACCUGCCCUGGUCUUCGACUCUUCGUCGUGCGCUUUGCCGGCGGCGAGCACCCAUCACACCAGGUAUGUCCGCCAGGUAUGUCCGCCCCUGCUCCUUCCUUCAUGGUCUGCAAAAUUGAGCACCUGAACCCUAACUUAAUAUAUCUGUAUUCGGAUCUGAUAUAGUGUACUUAUAAGGAUGUGUUUUGUUUGGCUUUUGCUCGCUAAAACACAAAAGUCAAACCAAAGGUGAACCAGGAAGCGGCUUUUUCGAAAAGCCGGCUUUCCCACAUUGCAAAAAUUAAAAUCAUCAUUAGACAACUGCAGAAGCUCGUGGUAAACUACUGCGACUGGGGAGGGAGCAGCAGGGGCAUCAGGUACGCUAAUUAUCGAGAUGCGAUGGCCAGGGUCUAGGUUGACCCCUAGUGGUGCAAAGGAUGGCCUACUUCGAGAGGCGAUGUCGGCGGACCAAUCUAGAAGAUUGAUGAUCUCUACAUAAACACAAGAUUACAUUGAUUCAACUCUGAUCUGGUGUAUGAAAUAUUGAUUGAUACUCAUUUAUAUUAUUUUUUUAUUAUAUUAUUAUUAAAUAUAUAUGUCUGUGUAUUUCUCUU